GACGAACGCUGGCGGCGUGCUUAACACAUGCAAGUCGAACGGUAAGGCCCUUCGGGGUACACGAGUGGCGAACGGGUGAGUAACACGUGGGCGAUCUGCCCUGCACCUCGGAUAAGCCUGGGAAACUGGGUCUAAUACCGGAUAGGACUCCGGACUGCAUGGUCUGGGGUGGAAAGCUUUUGCGGUGUGGGAUGGGCCCGCGGCCUAUCAGCUUGUUGGUGGGGUGAUGGCCUACCAAGGCGACGACGGGUAGCCGGCCUGAGAGGGUGACCGGCCACACUGGGACUGAGAUACGGCCCAGACUCCUACGGGAGGCAGCAGUGGGGAAUAUUGCAUAAUGGGCGCAAGCCUGAUGCAGCGACGCCGCGUGAGGGAUGACGGCCUUCGGGUUGUAAACCUCUUUCAGCAUCGACGAAGCGAAAGUGACGGUAGGUGCAGAAGAAGGACCGGCCAACUACGUGCCAGCCGCCGCGGUAA
rnacentral:rRNA from 1 species